rnacentral:lncRNA from 1 species
AUGAUCAUGGAAGUGAAAGGUUACCUGCUCAGAACUUUGUUGCCUUUUUCUGUGCAUACAGUAUGGAUACAUUUUGCAGGAUUCUUUUCAGUUCGACCAUGUGCCUACUUCAAAGAUACCACCAGAGCCAUACUGAAAGUCAGUUCCAAGAUUUCAGGAAUGUCACUGCCACCUUUCAAAUUUGUUUACUUGGAUCGUGGUAAAUUUCAUUCUCUCAUUUUUUAG